rnacentral:tRNA from 1 species
GGCGGUAUAGCUCAGUUGGUUAGAGCAGCGGAAUCAUAAUCCGCGUGUCCCUGGUUCAAGUCCGGGUACCGUCA